GCUACGGGGGGCCGCAGUGGGGAAUAUUGCACAAUGGGGGAAACCCUGAUGCAGCGACGCCGCGUGAGUGAGGAAGUAUUUCGGUAUGUAAAGCUCUAUCAGCAGGGAAGAAAACGACGGUACCUGACUAAGAAGCCCCGGAUAACUACGUGCCAGCCGCCGCGGUAAUACGUAGGGGGCAAGCGUUAUCCGGAUUUACUGUGUGUAAAGGGAGCGUAGACGGCUAAUCAAGUCAGAAGUGAAAACCCAGGGCUCAACCUUGGGACUGCUUUUGAAACUGAGUAGCUAGAGUGCAGGAGAGGUAAGCGGAAUUCCUAGUGUAGCGGGGAAAUGCGUAGAUAGUAGGAGGAACACCAGUGGCGAAGGCGGCUGACUGGACUGUAACUGACGUUGAGGCUCGAAAGCGUGGGGAGCAAACAGGAUUAGAGACCCCUGGAGUG
rnacentral:rRNA from 1 species